rnacentral:misc_RNA from 1 species
CAAAACCAUCCUGACCUUCAGGGUUGUACUGGGUUACUCCCUCUGUACGAUCCCUCACUUCUCUCUUCAGAUUUGCUAGCUUGUGCUAAUAACUCUCUCUCGGGUGUUAGUGAGGCCUGUAAAGCAAACGGGGUUUCUGUGGUUAAAGAGGAAGGUGUUAAUUUAAUGGGGUUUGUUGCUGGGAUCGUAAAUGCUGCUUCUUCUCCUUCUUCCACUACGCAUCAUCCUUAUUUGGAUCCGCAAUCUUCUUUGCCUAUAAAUCCUAGCUCAAUUCAAGAUAUUCAUGCUAACCCUUUUCUUUACGCUUCUCAUAACCUUCAAAACAUGAGAGACUUUGAUCAGCCAUAUAAUGGUGGUAGUGAAGCUGCAGCGUUUAAACCAGAACCCUUGUCUUUGGCUCAUGAGUCUAAUGCCACUGGCCAAGGCUUGUCUUUAUCUUUGUCUUCUCACAACACCCACCAAAGUAAUAUCCCUUUAGAGCUUAAUUUGCAAAGAUACGGAUCUGCAGUUUACGGUGAUAAGGUUACUGCUGGCGGUGGUGAUGGAUAUAUAGUUCCUGGCAUUGUUGGAGGCAGUAGCUCGACCUCGAAUGAGCUGUCUAGAAGUUCGGUCCCUCUCGGGCCAUUCACGGGAUACGCUUCGAUUCUAAAAGGAUCAAGAUUUUUGAAGCCUGCACAGCAGCUACUUGAAGAGUUUUGUGACGUGGGUCGGGAAAUUUACAGCGAGAAAAUCACGAUGGAUGCGUCUUUGAUGGAUCCUCCUGUGGAGUGUUUGAACGCAUGUGGAAUUAUGGAUGAUCCGCUUAAUUGUGGGGAUGGAGGUGAAAGUCGGAGAAAGAAGUCAAGGCUAAUUUCAAUGCUAGAUGAGGUUUACAGGAGAUACAAGCAUUAUUAUCAGCAGAUGCAAGCUGUGGUGGCUUCCUUUGAGUGUGUUGCUGGGCUUGGCAAUGCUGCUCCAU